rnacentral:rRNA from 1 species
AGUGAACGCUGGCGGUAGGCCUAACACAUGCAAGUCGAACGGCAGCACAGUAAGAGCUUGCUCUUACGGGUGGCGAGUGGCGGACGGGUGAGGAAUACAUCGGAAUCUACUUUUUCGUGGGGGAUAACGUAGGGAAACUUACGCUAAUACCGCAUACGACCUACGGGUGAAAGCAGGGGAUCUUCGGACCUUUCGCGAUUGAAUGAGCCGAUGUCGGAUUAGCUAGUUGGCGGGGUAAAGGCCCACCAAGGCGACGAUCCGUAGCUGGUCUGAGAGGAUGAUCAGCCACACUGGAACUGAGACACGGUCCAGACUCCUACGGGAGGCAGCAGUGGGGAAUAUUGGACAAUGGGCGAAAGCCUGAUGCAGCCAUACCGCGUGGGUGAAGAAGGCCUUCGGGUUGUAAAGCCCUUUUGUUGGGAAAGAAAAGCAGCAGGUUAAUACCCCGCUGUUCUGACGGUACCCAAAGAAUAAGCACCGGCUAACUUCGUG